GUAGGGAAUAUUGGGCAAUGGAGGCAACUCUGACCCAGCCAUGCCGCGUGCAGGAUGACGGCCCUCUGGGUUGUAAACUGCUUUUAUACGGGAAGAAAAAAUACUACGUGUAGUAUACUGACGGUACCGUAAGAAUAAGGAUCGGCUAACUCCGUGCCAGCAGCCGCGGUAAUACGGAGGAUCCAAGCGUUGUCCGGAUUUAUUGGGUUUAAAGGGUGCGUAGGCGGAUCUUUAAGUCAGUGGUGAAAGCCUGCAGCUUAACUGUAGAAUUUCCAUUGAAACUGAAGAUCUUGAAUGUGGUUAAAGUAGGCGGAAUGUAUCAUGUAGCGGUGAAAUGCUUAGAUAUGAUACAGAACACCGAUAGCGAAGGCAGCUUGCUGAACCAUUAUUGACGCUGAGGCACGAAAGCGUGGGGAGCGAACAGGAUUAGAUACCCGGGUAGUCC
rnacentral:rRNA from 1 species